rnacentral:rRNA from 1 species
UGGGGAAUUUUGGACAAUGGGGGCAACCCUGAUCCAGCCAUGCCGCGUGCGGGAAGAAGGCCUUCGGGUUGUAAACCGCUUUUAGCCGGGAAGAAAAGGCGCGGGCUAAUACCUCGUGUUUUUGACGGUACCGGCGGAAUAAGCACCGGCUAACUACGUGCCAGCAGCCGCGGUAAUACGUAGGGGGCAAGCGUUGUCCGGAUUUAUUGGGCGUAAAGCGCUCGCAGGUGGCCCGUCGCGUCGUGCGUGAAAGACCCCGGCUCAACCGGGGGGUGUCGUGCGAUACGGGCGGGCUGGAGGCCAGUAGGGGGAUGCGGAAUUCCGGGUGUAGUGGUGGAAUGCGUAGAGAUCCGGAGGAACACCAGCGGCGAAGGCGGCAUCCUGGACUGGUCCUGACACUCAUGAGCGAAAGCGUGGGGAGCGAUC